rnacentral:rRNA from 1 species
AAUCAACGCUGGCGGCGUGCCUCAGACAUGCAAGUCGAACGCGAAAUUUCCCUUCGGGGAGAAAGUAGAGUGGCGCACGGGUGAGUAACACGUAGGUAAUUUGCCUUUGGGUGGGGAAUAACUCAGGGAAACUUGAGCUAAUACCGCAUAAUGCAGCGGCUCGACAUCGAGACAGUUGUUAAAGCGGGGGAUUGGAGCAAUCCGACCUCGCGCCUAAAGAGAAGCCUGCGGCAGAUUAGCUAGUUGGUAAGGUAAUGGCUUACCAAGGCGACGAUCUGUAACCGGCCUGAGAGGGCGGUCGGUCACACUGACACUGACAUACGGGUCAGACUCCUACGGGAGGCAGCAGUCGGGAAUUUUGGGCAAGUGGGCGCAAGCCUGACCCAGCAACGCCGCGUGAAGGAU